GUGGGGAAUUUUGGACAAUGGGCGCAAGCCUGAUCCAGCAAUGCCGCGUGCAGGAAGAAGGCCUUCGGGUUGUAAACUGCUUUUGUACGGAACGAAACGGUCCGGGUUAAUACCCUGGGCUAAUGACGGUACCGUAAGAAUAAGCACCGGCUAACUACGUGCCAGCAGCCGCGGUAAUACGUAGGGUGCAAGCGUUAAUCGGAAUUACUGGGCGUAAAGCGUGCGCAGGCGGUUUUGUAAGACAGGCGUGAAAUCCCCGGGCUCAACCUGGGAAUUGCGCUUGUGACUGCAAGGCUAGAGUGCGGCAGAGGGGGAUGGAAUUCCGCGUGUAGCAGUGAAAUGCGUAGAUAUGCGGAGGAACACCGAUGGCGAAGGCAAUCCCCUGGGCCUGCACUGACGCUCAUGCACGAAAGCGUGGGGAGCAAACAGGAUUAGAUACCCCGGUAGUCC
rnacentral:rRNA from 1 species